rnacentral:tRNA from 1 species
UUAGUUGAAACCAAAAUAGAGGUAUAUUACUGUUAAUAAUAUUAUUGGAAUAAUUUCCCAAUUAAA